AUUGAACGCUGGCGGCAGGCCUAACACAUGCAAGUCGAACGAGUGGCGGACGGGUGAGUAAUGUCUGGGAAACUGCCCGCUGGAGGGGGGUAACUACUGGAAACGGUAGCUAAUACCGCAUACCAUCGGAUGUGCCCAGAUGGGAUUAGCUGGUCGGUGGGGUAACGGCUCACCUAGGCGACGAUCCCUAGCUGGUCUGAGAGGAUGACCAGCCACACUGGAACUGAGACACGGUCCAGACUCCUACGGGAGGCAGGAGUGGGGAAUAUUGCACAAUGGGCGCAAGCCUGAUGCAGCCAUGCCGCGGGUAUGAAGAAGGCCUUCGGUUUGUAAAGUACGUUCAGCGGGGAGGCGUUACCCGCAGAAGAAGCACCGGCUAACUCCGUGCCAGCCGCCGCGGUAAUAC
rnacentral:rRNA from 1 species